UGGUGGAGCGAUUUGUCUGGUUAAUUCCGAUAACGAACGAGACUCUAGCCUAUUAAAUAGUUCGCCGAUCACCUUACGUCGGCGUCAACUUCUUAGAGGGACAAGUGGCGUUUAGCCACGCGAGAUUGAGCAAUAACA
rnacentral:rRNA from 1 species